AAAAUUAUUAUUUUCUGAUGUAAGUCCACUAACUUUCAUUUACAAAUUGAGCCUUACUUAAAAUUGUUACCAAGCUUAUUCUUUUUUUUUUGCUGGUUUUAUCAAAGCUUUAAAAAGAAAAGGGGUCCUGGUGUGAAACAGAACUGAUAUCUUUUGUGUGCUUCAAUAUUUAAUGCGUCCAGGGAAUCGAGAGCUAUUAUUGUGCCUGUUGAAGUUCUGGUUGAUGGCCCACACAGAAUCUGCGCCCACUGAACUCCACAGAAAGCUCAGCAGAAUUGGACCGCCUGUCAUUCACAGAGCUCCACACGUUCCCCGCCUCCUCCUUGAUGACAUAUUUUGGGUAUUUUAAAACACAUUUUACUAUUUGAAUCCAUUCCACAGAUCCACAGAUUCUGCCCGGGCCUCAUUUAGCAGCUUGCAGGAACAUUUCAUGGGUCACCGCUAUCAGGUUAACCGCAUCAUCAUUCUGCCUGCGCCUCGGCCUCUGGAUCUCUUCCCAUCUCUCGGUUUGUAUUCCGACGCGUCUUAAUGUCUUUCCGUUGAGCUGUUCGGAUAAACCGGACACGGGCAAACUUGAAGGACGCUUGAUCCGUCGCCCCGUGUUCCCUGCAGAUCUCGGUAAAAGGCAGCACACGGGCUAUGCUCAUCCUUCGGCUUUAGGUGGCUUUGUGACUGUACACGUAGGGAUGAUAUCCGCACAAUUUCGUUGUGACAUUCAAGAGCCCAAAUAUAGGCUAACCGUCGCGCGCGGGGCUGAGUCAGCUGUCACGGCGAACCGUCGCGCGCGAGAGAGCUGAGCAACAAUGACUGUAAACAACUUUGAAAAUAUGCGAGACCCCUUGUCACACCAAUGUAUCCUGCGCCUCGACACACGGAGGGGUUGACAAGCCCUGUCACCUGUACAGGUAAAGCUUUGCCUCGCGAAAAGCCAUCUCUGUAUUUAGAACAAGUUUGACGAUCGCACCUGACACACAGUUGAAUCUGUCUCCUACAUUUGGAAGAUUUCCAAAACAUUUUCCUUUUUCUAAUCCAUUGCACUCCCCGUGCAGAAGAUAGGAGAUCAUUUUAAGAUGAAUGCACACAAAACGGACUUGAUCGGAAACCUUUAAGUCACCAUGAAAUCAAAAUGGAAAGUUCUUAUUUUUUAAUGGAAUACUGUAGUGUUUAUUAUAAAUAAUGUAUCCGUACACUGCAUUGGUUAUUUUUGUUUGUUUUUUUAUUCAUGUGCACUCCUGAUCUUUAAUCAAAAACGUUAACCUCCCCUCCCCGUCAAAACGACUCAUCUUCUCUUCCGGUCACGAGCUAUGGCGCAAGGGCGGAGCUAGUGACGUCAGGGGUAAACGCUGGGGGGAAAACUGAAGCUGAUGCUUUACUUCAUAGAAAUCAAUGCCUUGACCAGUGCUGACGCAAGCUAUGGGGGAAUAC
ensembl:lncRNA